rnacentral:rRNA from 1 species
GAUCCUACGGGGGGCAGCAGUGAGGAAUAUUGGUCAAUGGCCGAGAGGCUGAACCAGCCAAGUCGCGUGAGGGAAGACGGCCCUACGGGUUGUAAACCUCUUUUGUCGGGGAGCAAAGCGAACCACGUGUGGUUCAUUGAGAGUACCCGAAGAAAAAGCAUCGGCUAACUCCGUGCCAGCAGCCGCGGUAAUACGGAGGGGGCAAGCGUUAUCCGGAUUUACUGGGUGUAAAGGGAGCGUAGACGGCUGAGCAAGUCAGAAGUGAAAGCCCGGGGCUCAACCCCGGGACUGCUUUUGAAACUGCG